rnacentral:miRNA from 1 species
GUGCGCGCGCGCACACACACAUAUAUAUACACACAGACAUAUAUAUAUAUUUGUGUGUGUGUGUGUGUGUGUGUGUGUGUAU